GUGUACCUGAACACAUCGCGUCACUCCCUGUGUGCUUCAGCACGAGAGAGCUGACUCUUCCCCUUCUAAAAGAGCUUCACAGGAGCUCUUAUCUUUUUCAAGACGUCAUUCUGUCUGUGCGUUUCUGGAGGCGGUCGUUUCCUAUCCUCACUGACGGCCACAAUCACUUUCUCUCAUGUCUGCUUAGCGUGCUGAGACUGUGUUUGUGGGUGGUUCAUAUUCUCUUAUGAGAAUAUGCCCACGUCGGCGCGUUGUUUGUUUCGCCUUUCUCGUAAGGGCUUGAGCGUUCAGCGCGGCGUGUGCCGUCGAGCUGCCGGCUGACAGCGCGCGUUGCCAUGGCAACCCUGCGCGUCGUCUGGCGCUCUAGAUGCAUGGUCGAGACUUGAGUGCCUUUAAUGAGGUGGAGUCCCCUCACUUAUUCCCCGAUCUAGUUUAUUUUUCUGAAUAAGAAAAAUACUACUUUGGUUAAUAAGCCUGGGUGACCAGAGGAUCACAGUGGGGCUAUACCCGUUAUUUGUUGAUAAAUCGCAGAACAGCGAUGACAGUAAGUUCCGAGUUUCAUAGUGAUUCAGCGUGCGAACUGAACGUGAUAUAUGAGCCACUGUUUGCGUGUUUAACCGCAAGGAAGCGGCACAGUAAUUUAUAACGGCAAGUCACAGAAACAAUCCCCCGACCAACAUUGAUCCAGAUGGAAUGACUGAAAAUCCAGGAAAGAAGACGAGAAGGAUUUAAACUGUGCUUCUUGCGGGGUUGAGCCAAUGGAGUGGAGAAUGUGAGCCGGCUGGGAACUGGAUCUGCGCUGCGGCGCGGCUCGGCUCCGGGUUUACUGAAGGCCUGCUGCGGCGGCCUGGCGCUGGAAGAAGGCCCGUUCCGUCGCGGGAAGAGGCGGCAUUGCCCGAGACUCGAGCUUGGUGCUCGGUUGCCUUAUUGUCAUUUUUCUAUGACAGUAAUGAUUGAAUGGGCCAGAGUAUGGAAAUACACAGAAGGAUAUCGCGGAUGAUUCGGACGUGGUGACAGGCCUCGGCGUUUUGGCAUGCAGGGACCCGUUUGUUUGGGCUGACGCCCCUCCGAAAUAAUGCCAUUGGAUUGGAGAAAAAUUGUUCUUAAGGCCAGAGGAUUGUGGCAAAGAUUCCUCGAGGAUGAAAGAUUCUUCAUCGGACGCGACUUCGGACAUGUUAGGAACUUAGGGCGGGACCAAAUUCUGGAAACUGUCGAGGAUCCUUGGGUGAGUUUGACUGUGAUUAUAUACAGGCCUGAACUCAUGCCGAUUGGGUAGAUAUGUUGAUUACAGAUUGUUGACAGCUGGUUGAGAUGACGUAAUGAUUAAGAUGUUGUAAUGAUUGGGUAUCUUAUUUGACUUGUUCCUCCUGAACUACGUUUAUAAAACAUCAUUUAGUGAGUAUGCAAUGAUUGACAACAUAUGGCAUUCCUCUUAUCAUAUAAAAUAUAGUCUGUUUUUAUUAUUUAUUUUCAUUUUAAUUUAGUGAUUUUAAAUUCAAAUUUACAAAAAAACCCAAAUUCAUUAAAUCUUGGGCACAAUACAUAAAAUACAGUUGGUGUCACGUGCACUCCCUUUUGGACCCCUUUUUGGACUUGUUGUUCUAUUUCCCGCCACCAGUUUGUCACCAUAGCAACUGAUCACAUAAUCAUCACACCCAGCUGUUCCUUAUCACCCUGCUUGUUAGCCCUUGUAUUUUAACCCUGUGUUUCUAGUCUUGUGUUGUCCGGUAUUGUUUGUACUACGUUGGUGUAUGUUCCUGUGAAUUCCUGUUUCCUUCCAAGUAAAGACUUAUUCUGAUUCUAUCUCCUCGUCGUGUGCUUAGUAUACCAGCUACCGUAACAGAAUACCGGACCAAAACAGUUAUACAGUUUGCGGCGUGUGUUUGUUGUUUUCCGUCGCAGUGUUUUUCGUGUUUCACUCUCCGUUCCCGUCACCAUGUACACACCCGCAUUUCUGUUAUUAUGCCUUGAGCAGAAGGACCGCUCCCUCGAGGCACAUUUGGACAAUUUUUUGUUUCUUGCUCCAUCAACACAUUUCCCGGACAGCAGCCUUUGCAACUUCCUGUAUGCCGGCCUCAACACCGCCACCAAAGUGCUGCUGUCCGGGGAAGGACCUCGAGGGAGCUUCCGGGAUUAUGUGGAGUGGGUGCUGGAGAUAUGUGGAUCUUCAAUGACCGUGGAUUUCUCCAAUGACGCCAGUCCCACUCCUACUCCAGUGCACAGGCAUCAACACCCUGACUGCGAGGAUCGGUAGCAUGAGCCCACCGCAGACCACGAAGAGGACUUUGCCGCGACGUUCGAGUCAGCGCCUACGAGAGCGACCGAGCGGGACAUCGCCACGGAUCCUGAGCAACGCAGGACUGACCAGGUGUGCGAGCCGGCUGUACCAUCCAUCGCCGAGGGAAUCUUAGUGGAUUACGAGGGUAUUAAAGUGAGCCCCACCCAACCCCCUGCCACUGAGAGUGAGUUUUUGGUCAACACUGGAGACAUUUUUUCUGAUUUAGAAGAGGUGACUAUGCAAACUGUUGUACUACAGUCUCUGGCCCCUCCCAGCCUCCCUCUCACCACCUCUUCAAAAUUUUUUUGGGACUCUUUCAUUUUCUGAAGAACUGUUUAGCACACUCCAAACCCCUCCUCUGUCCCCAGCCACGCCUGCUAUCCAGUCGUCACUGUCUCCCGUCAGUCCCUCAGUUUCCCCAUCUCCUCUCAGUGGUAGGGUUCCACCUCGGGACUGCUGGGAGCCUCCUCCUGGACGUGAGGAGCCUGGGGCGCGACGCAGCCAUGGGGCGCAGUCUUGGCUGUGUACUGGAUGGUUUUGCUACUUCCUCUGUUCAAGGCUCCCCUCUGGACUCCAUCACUUGCAUCUCCCUGGUCACCAUCACCUGCACCUCCCUGGACUUCUGCACCUCGCCUCCUCCCGGGUAACCGUCCUCCUCCUGAACUGCCUCCUACACCAUCGCAGCCAUCUCAUCUUCGUCUUCCCCUCUCCACGGCACGAGGACGCGCCUUUCCGGGAGGGGGCGAUAUGUCACGUGCACUCCCUUUUGGACCCCUUUUUGGACUUGUUGUUGUUCUAUUUCCCGCCAUCAGUUUGUCACCAUAGCAACUGAUCACAUAAUCAUCACACCCAGCUGUUCCUUAUCACCCUGCUUGUUAGCCCUUGUAUUUUAACCCUGUGUUUCUAGUCUUGUGUUGUCCGGUAUUGUUUGUACUACGUUUGUGUAUGUUUCUGUGGAUUCCUGUUUCCUUCCAAGUAAAGACUUAUUCUGAUUCUAUCUCCUCAUCGUGUGCUUAGUAUACCAGCUACCGUAACAGUUGGCUUCAUCCUGUAUUUUGAUUUAGUUAAGUUGCAUUUUUUUUGUAUACUUUUAUUUUUGGACUGAUAACGUCAAAUAAUUGUAAAUGAGAGAGUCAGUGCAGUGAUAUCAAUGCGUUCCUAUUGGUCAGUGUUAGAGGAGCUCAGCUUUUUUAGCCUGACAGUUAGCCUGCUCCGGACGAGGGUUAGUUUCGCAGCAUAAGUUGCCACCGUGAAUGAGCUUGAGCUAUGUAGCUCAGUAGGCUGUCACAUUACCUUCUGAUUAAGGACGCGGAAGUGUUUGUUUAUGUAGGUCCUGUCUCUCGGGGAAGCCAAGUCACGCCCACACCAGAUGGAUGACACGACAGGUAAACAUAAUUUCUUACUGAUGUAAUUUCAGUUUGACAACAGUAGGAGUAAUAAUUGCAUGGACUGUGAUACAUUCAGUUGCUGCCUCAUUUGUUAAUUAUUCUUUCAAAUCAUCAACUAAAGAUGCACAUGAAUGCAUGCAUUUUUAAAUAUUUGUAAUUGCUAAUGAAGGAGAAAGAGAGAGAAAUAUUUAAAAAAAUGGUACUUUUAGACCUUUGCUGUCUGCUGGAGAGGAGCGUAUAGGAUGAUGAAUCAAACCAGUUGUAAAGUUUCCAAGAAUCUCUUGUAGUGUUGGUACAUCAGAGAGUCUGUAGGCCAAACGGAUAUCCAUAACUGCAGUUCUUCAUUUACAUGUUAACAUGAUUCAACAAUAAACAAACUUUAUACCCCAGUGAAUAAUUUUUUUUUUUUUUUCCCACUUGCGUUCAUUAGGUCAUAAUUUACUUUCGAAUGUUCACACCUGUAGUUAGUUGUAAAUAACUAAAUACAUUUUUAAAAUAAUUACAUCCACAGAGAUGCAUUUGCCGGACAGUGGCGUGGACAGUCCUGGGUUCAGUAGUGUAAGUAAAAAAAAAAAUGCUGCAUAAAAUAAAAGGAUAAUAAAAUACUUUUUAAAAAUUGCCUUUAUUUCUAGACCGCACCCACUGAACUCAUAAGCUGUACAGUAAGUUGAGCUUUGUGCAUGUGCAUUUACACUGCGACUAUUAUAUGAUGUGCAGUUUGACAGUGUGUUGAGUUGUGUUGUUCUUCAGGACAGUGAGCACACCUCCUCCGCUGACGAGUGGGUCCAGCAGGGCCCCAAUCUUCCUCUUUUCCCUCCACCUCCUCAUCCACCUCCACCACCUCCACCUCUUCCCAUUUUAUCUCCUUGGGAGGAUCUAGUCACAAACAGCAAGCCACUACAAGCUUUGUGUACAGUUACAUUGUUUUUUAGUUUUUCCUCUAUUUUUAAACCAGUUGGUGCCCCUAUAGCUGACAUUAAUAGGGUAUGUUCUUCACAGGUAUUAUUAGUUGCUAAGAAGGAGGCUAUUUUUCUGGACUCAUGUCCAAAUGGGUUUGGGGAUGAGAAAUACCGAACCAUAUUUAGGUUUGAAACGCAUAAGCAGAGGACAUUAGCAAGGUUUGACCUGUGACCAAUUAAGGCUAACACAGAGAACAGAAAGUGCAUGUAGUUACAUGCUACUAUGGGAAUUAAAGUUAAUACAUGAUAGGGGCGUUUCCUAAUUAUUUUAUUUAUUUAUUUAUUUAUUUAUUUAUUUUCAUCCAGUUAAGUCUGAAGAGCACUCUGAAAAUCUUCAAUCUGAUGACACUGUGUAACAGCCUUAACAAAUACAGAUCAAACUGAGUGAAAUGGAAUGAUAUCCUGUUCAGGCAAAGCCUUGUUCUCUGGCUUUAGGUUUGAGUAAAAGCCUUGUUCUCUGGCUUUAGGACUGAGGAAAAAACCUUGUUCUAUGGAUUCAGUUUUGCAUAGUUUUUUUUCCACACAACUUGCAGGAGCAGUGGCUGAUGGACCGUGGGUGGAGAAGACGGGCAAAGAUUUUGAUCCAUUUCCAGUUCAGUCAGAUGGACAGAGCUGUGGGAUAUUCAUGCUUAUGUAUGCCCUCUACAUCUGUACUGGUGCCAUGUUUCACUUUUUGGAUACUGACAUACCAUCUAUUCGGAAGUGGUGGUGUCUCCAGAUUCUGGAGAAAUUCUCGAUCGCAAGGCAUGGGCAGAACUUCGGGCAGCGCUUUGCCUUCUGGACAGAGGAGGCAGAACAGCUGAUGGCAGGCACCCUACCACCUAUUUAUAGGAUUUAUCGACCCCAAAUGUCAAGGUAUGGCCAAACUAACCAGACAACCAUUUUUACAUAUGCAUUCUAUAUAGGUAGGUCUCAAAAAAUGUGAAUAUUGUGGAAAAGUGUGUGAAUUACUGAAUUAAAUGUAAAACUUGAAACUGAAACAUUAUAUAGAUUUAUAUGUUACAUCACGUGAUAUAUUCAAAAAUAGAAGAUCGUAACAAACAGUUCAAGUCAAGUGGGUCAGAUGUACACCAAUAAUGCGAUUCUUUCCAAUGAUCAGAGUAAGGAGUUAAUCGCAGUAAGAUGUUUACAUGACUGGAGCAAGCCUCUUCACUCCUACAUGCAGUUUUUAUUUUCUGAUUAUUCACACAUAGCCCAAUGCAGAGCACAAAUGAUGAACUCAUAUACUGUCCAGUUUUUAUUUACGUACGUUAAAUAACAAACGGGUUCUUAUGGACGUAUUUUGUUAUUCUGUGCCGUGAUGAAGACAGAAAUAUUAUGUCGGUGCCCGUAACAGUUUUAUACACUGCUGUCACGUUAUCUGAGCUGUUUCUGGAUGAAGGCAGACUUCUGACAGUGAGUCGUGUUGAAAGAGUUCAGGGAAAACUUCUAAACUAAACUAAUGUCAAGUUUAAAAUGAAUACACACUUAAGGUGCGUGACAAACACACGCGCACUUCAGUUAGUGCGAUUAAAGUGUUUACAUGGCCGCAUACUGUGAUUAAAAACAUCGUACCUCACCUGUUUUAAUACGAUUAUAGCUGAUGCGAUUUCGAGCUUAAUCACAUUAUUAAGUAUUGUGUUUACAUGAGGUAAAGUAUAAUCGCAAUAUUGCUAAAAUCCCAUUAUAAUCGCAUUAUGAAGGUGCAUGUAAACGUGGUCAAUGUUUCACCUUUUGUCUCCUAGAGACAUUUGUUAAUUUCUUUUUUUCUUAGUCUACACUCGGUACCCCAUAGUGACAGCAAAAUACCGGAAUUGUAGAAGUUUUUGCAAAUUAAUAAAAAAUAAACUGAAACAUCCAGAAUUUCAGAAAUUGGAACCUGCUCACACUGCCAAAAGUACCAAUACCUGGUUUAAUGACCAAAGAGUCACUGUGUUUGAUUGCCCUGCAGACUCGUCGGACCUGAACCCCAAACGGAAUCUAUGUUAGGGUGACCAAACGUCUUUAUUUCCCAGGACAUGUCCUGUUUUCACGCCCUGUCCUGGCCGUCCUGGUUUUUUUUAUAAAGUGAUGAAAAUGUCCUGGUUUUCAUUGUUUUUUACUGGGGCAUUAAAUUGACCGGCACUAGGGCAUUCUGCACCUGCGGUGCUGCAUGUGACGUAAUCCCUGAUAGGCUGCCGUGGGGGUGGCGCUGUUUAUACUCAAGGAGCGAGCAGACAGCAAUGUAGCAUGCCGAAGCGCAAGUGCAUAUUUACUGAUGAGCUACAGAAGAAAUUCCCCACUUUCUCUCCCGGUCGGGACAAGUGGGAGGCUGCGUGCACUGUGUGCAAACCUGGCACAUAUGUUUCGGUGUCCAGUGGGGGUGCCAGUGUUCUCAAAGCUCACAUGGACACGGAAAAACAUAAAAAAGCUGUGCGAGGUGAGAGUAGUUCAAAAAAGUUGACGGAGUUCUAUGUGAGACCCGGGAAAUCAGAGGAUGCUGUGAAUGCAGCGGAGGGUACGUUGUCAUUUCAUAUAGUGAAACAUCACAACAGCUACAGGUCCAUGGAUUGCACUAGUGCAUUGUGUCCACAGGGUUGAAGUGGGUUCAGAAGUAUGCAGGUACAGUGUGAUUGACACCAUUUUCUUCAAACAUACACUUACAAUACUUUGUAUAUAAUCUGAAUUAUUACUGAAAAUGUUUAUGAAGUUGACUGAUAAUGUUGGAUCUCUCUCAGUAGAUGUGACUCUGGAUCCUGAUACAGCAUCUCCAUAUCUCAUCCUGUCUGACGAUAGAAAACAAGUCAGUGAAGGAGACAUUAAGCAGGAGUACACAGAAAACCCAAAGAGAUUGGAUGAUUCUCAUGUUCUGGCAAAGGAGGGAUUCAGUUCAGGGAGAUUUUACUAUGAGGUGCAGGUGAAGGGAAAGACUGAGUGGGGUUUAGGAGUGGCCAGAGAAUCAUUUAGCAUGAAGGAUAUCCCAAAUCCUGAGGAUGGAUGCUGGAUAAUGUGCCAGGUUGAUGAGGAUACAUAUAUCUUUGGUGAUAAUCCAAUUGUAGUUUUGUCUCAGAGCGUGAAACCUGAGAAAGUUGGCAUGUUUGUGGAUUAUGAGGAGGGUCUGGUCUCUUUUUAUGAUGUGGACUCUAGAUCUCAUUUAUACUCUUUCACUGGGCAGAUGUUCUCUGAGAAACUCUAUCCAUUGAGAGAAAGACAGAGGACUGAAUGUACGCUUUCAAUGGUGAUUUAAUUGCAAAAAUAGGCAGAGAAUCCAAACUGUGGGUUUAUUUGGAUGACAGUUACGGUUUACAAGGAUAAAGAGAUUGAAUUUAGGAGGCCGGAUCUUCUAGAAGAUGCAUUUCAGAGAGCUUAAUCACUCCAUCAUUGGAUUGGACUUGUAUUUCAAAUGUGCUUUCUCUCCAAGAAGAGAUACUUGAUGUAAUCAAUGGAUAUUUUGGGAUCACGUGGACAUUUGGUACCAAUAAACAAAUUAUUCAUUAAAUUUCAUGUUAUCCUUGUCAUAAGCUAGUCUUCCUUUCACUCAUCUUCUCACUUGUAUCUUUGUUUUUAAUCUCUCCUCUCAUCUUCUUGUUUUUACUGUCUACCUGCCACUAAAAAUGCAAAUGUGGUUCCACCCAGUCGAUGGCUCCAGUUGAUUAAAACUCAGAUUGGCGUCCAUAUUCAUGAGUGGGUGUCUAGCUGAGGUUACGGUGCCAGCCGUGGUCUGCCUGCCUCUUACUGCUGUAUGAUUGGAUCUGAAAGGACUCACGGUUCAUGGCAGUGUGUGAGACACCCUGUGCGUUUGUUUGUACACAUUUGUGUGGGAUAAAGAAUCACAUGUCUGGGUAAAACCUCAGCUGAGGUCUGAUUCUCGUUUAUUGUCUUGCAGCAAGUAAAUUUUAUGGGCUGGCGCUACAGUCAGAGGAUGAUGAAGUGUUUUGAAAGGACAUAGUCUCUUGAGAGAACAUCUGAUUUUCUUCUGCUUUGUACAUUCUCUUACAGUCUUUUUUAAAAUGUACACUCUCUUUCCCUUUUAGUUGAGGAAGAAUUACUUAAAUGCUUUUAUUGGGUUUGAAAGAACAAAUACUACACUGUUUUAGUUUAAUAUAUUACAAGGAACGUCUUUAUAUAAGAAAUUUCUUUAGCUUUUGCAUACAAGUUUUCAGAACUUGUAUUUUAAUUUGGCUUCAAAUGUUACUUACACAACCAUAAUGUAAGCAUUGAAAUGUAACCGAUUAUUGAAACUUAACAUAAUUUAUUACUUUAUAAGUAUAUCUAAAAACCAUCUACUAUUAAGUACUAUAAGCAUUGUCAGCCAUUUAGCUAAAUUUAGCCAUUUUGUUAACUGUAUAGCCAUUUAGCCAUUUUUAACCACAUUUCAUCUCAGCAAACCCGAAGAAAAGGCAGUUGCCGGCAUUUGCUGGCAAACUAGUUUGUAAGAAUGCUUUGUCACCUUGCUUUACACCUUAAUUUAUUACAUUUUAUUGCAUUUCAGUUACUAUGAGUAAUUUUUACUAUUUCGGUUUUGUUCUCUCAAACACACACACACAAAAAGCUGUUUUCAUGAUAUUCACAAGUUUUAAUGUAAAUCUUAAAAUAUUGCAUUGAAAAUGAUAGAUUGAAACCCCAAAAUGUGCAUAAAAAUGUAUAUGCUUGCUUGAGGUGGAUACGUUAUGUAUUCAUUGACACUGUUUUUUUUUGUUUUUUUUCCCUUGAUAUCCUGAUUUUUUUACAAAUUAAAUUUGCUUUGAUGGAAAUGAAAGGUGAAAAUAUGACACUGAGAGGGGGAGAGGGGGGCGGCAGGAGUGCUGUCUAGAUAAAGAUGACGCACUGCACCAUCAGGCUCUGGGACUGAGUGCAGAGCUGUUGGUCAAUGGCAGUGCCUCUGCAAUGGGGCUCUGUGUGAACUGGAACCAAUACUACACCCGUUGUCAUACAGGACACACCAACCCACAUAAAGGAGUGAUAAACUUUGACAACAUAGGUUACGCAUGGAUUGUCAUAUUUCAGGUAUGAGACUGAUCCAAGUGCCUUUUGUUGAAAUUAUACAUCUGAUUCAGUCUGUUUUGGGUGAUCCAAUCAUAAAUCAACAGCGCUAAAUAUUGGUGUAAAUGCGAUCCAACACAUUGUUUUUUUUAAUCCAGUCACUCAAAUCAUGUUCGGAUGAAGUCAGAACUGCAUUUGACCACAACUCAUGUGUAGUGUGUUGCAAAUACUAAUCCAUCCUGAUACAUUUUGGACAACAGUGAAUGGCCGCCUAUACACCUGUUCUGUUAAACAAAGGUUUAAGGAAAUUAACUCUGUUUUGCUUUUCAUGAGAAUUGAGCAUAAGAUAUUAUGUGUGAUUAAGACAAAUCUAACAAAAGUGAGGUUUUUACACUCUUAACACUUCUAACUCUUAUAUGUAUGUAGCGAAUUAACUCAAAGGGGAAAUAUUAAUAAUUAUUCAUAACUCAUUAUUAUGAUUAAUUAUGAAUAUGUAAAUCUGUUAAUCAGAUUAACUGGAUGUAGCUACAUUAAGAUUAAUAUUACAAUCAAUGAACCUGUUCAUCCAGUGAACACUUAGUGUUGAUCGUUUAUUAAUUCUAAGAAAUGUUCAUUUCCAGGUUCUGGAAAAAUAACA